UACGUAGGGGGCGAGCGUUGUCCGGAAUUACUGGGCGUAAAGAGCUCGUAGGUGGUUUGUCGCGUUGUUCGUGAAAUUCCCUGGCUUAACUGGGGGCGUGCGGGCGAUACGGGCAGACUGGAGUACUGCAGGGGAGACUGGAAUUCCUGGUGUAGCGGUGGAAUGCGCAGAUAUCAGGAGGAACACCGGUGGCGAAGGCGGGUCUCUGGGCAGUAACUGACGCUGAGGAGCGAAAGCGUGGGGAGCGAACAGG
rnacentral:rRNA from 1 species